CAAGCGUUAUCCGGAAUCAUUGGGCGUAAAAGCGUCCGUAGGUGGCAUUUAAAGUCUGCUGUCAAAGACCGAAGCUCAAACUUCGGGUAGGCGGUGGAAACUGAAAAGCUAGAGUAUAGUAGGGGUAGAGGGAAUUCCUAGUGUAGCGGUGAAAUGCGUAGAGAUUAGGAAGAACACCAGUGGCGAAGGCGCUCUACUGGGCAUAUACUGACACUGAGGGACGAAAGCUAGGGGAGCGAAAGGGAUUAGAUACCCCUGUAGUCCUAGCGGUAAACGAUGGAUACUAGGUGUUGUCUGUAUCGACCCGGACAGUGCCGAAGCAAACGCGUUAAGUAUCCCGCCUGGGGAGUACGCACGCAAGUGUGAAACUCAAAGGAAUUGACGGGGACCCGCACAAGCGGUGGAGUAUGUGGUUUAAUUCGAUGCAACGCGAAGAACCUUACCAAGGCUUGACAUCCUGCGAAUUUUGAGGAAACUCGAAAGUGCCUUAGGGAACGCAGAGACAGGUGGUGCAUGGCUGUCGUCAGCUCGUGUCGUGAGAUGUUGGGUUAAGUCCCGCAACGAGCGCAACCCUCGUCCUUAGUUGCCAUCAUUAAGUUGGGGACUCUAGGGAGACCGCCGGGGAGAACUCGGAGGAAGGUGGGGAUGACGUCAAGUCAGCAUGCCCCUUACGUCUUGGGCUACACACGUACUACAAUGGUUGAGACAAAGGGAAGCGAAACUGCGAAGUGGAGCGAAUCCUGUCAAACUCAGCCCCAGUUCAGAUUGCAGGCUGAAACUCGCCUGCAUGAAGGAGGAAUCGCUAGUAAUCGCAGGUCAGCAUACUGCGGUGAAUCCGUUCCCGGGUCUUGUACACACCGCCCGUCACACCAUGGAAGUUGGUCAUGCCCGAAGUCGUUACCUUAACCGUUUACGGAGAGGGAUGCCGAAGGUGGGACUAGUGACUGGGGUGAAGUCGUAACAAGGUAGCCGUACCGGAAGGUGUGGCUGGAUCACCUCCUUAAAGGGAGACUUCUAGAGAAGUCAAUCAAGAGUGUAGAAAAUGGCUUUUAAACUAGAGAGAGGGUUCAUGGGCUUGGGCUAUUAGCUCAGGUGGUUAGAGCGCACCCCUGAUAAGGGUGAGGUCCCUGGUUCAAGUCCAGGAUGGCCCAUUACUCACAGGAGUAGAAAGGGGGUAUAGCUCAGUUGGUAGAGCGCCUGCUUUGCAAGCAGGAUGUCAGCGGUUCGAGUCCGCUUAUCUCCAGGAACAAUUCAGCAUCGAAAAAAGAAUGCUGGACAAUUGUUCAGUAAGAACCUUGAAAACUGCAUAAAAAAAGUAGGU
rnacentral:rRNA from 1 species